GAUGAACGCUAGCUACAGGCUUAACACAUGCAAGUCGAGGGGCAGCAUUUCAGUUUGCUUGCAAACUGGAGAUGGCGACCGGCGCACGGGUGAGUAACACGUAUCCAACCUGCCGAUAACUCGGGGAUAGCCUUUCGAAAGAAAGAUUAAUACCCGAUGGUAUAAUCAGACCGCAUGGUCUUGUUAUUAAAGAAUUUCGGUUAUCGAUGGGGAUGCGUUCCAUUAGGCAGUUGGUGAGGUAACGGCUCACCAAACCUUCGAUGGAUAGGGGGUUCUGAGAGGAAGGUCCCCCCACAUUGGGAACUGAGACACGGCCCAGACUCCUACGGGAGGCAGCAGUAGGGAAUCUUCGGGCAAUGGGGGCAACCCUGACCGAGCAACGCCGCGUGAGUGAAGAAGGUUUUCGGAUCGUAAAGCUCU
rnacentral:rRNA from 1 species